rnacentral:rRNA from 1 species
UACAGAGGUCUCAAGCGUUGUUCGGAUUCAUUGGGCGUAAAGGGUGCGUAGGUGGCGCUGUAAGUCGGGUGUGAAAUUUCGGAGCUUAACUCCGAAACUGCAUUCGAUACUGCGGUGCUUGAGGACUGGAGAGGAGACUGGAAUUCAUGGUGUAGCAGUGAAAUGCGUAGAGAUCAUGAGGAAGACCAGUGGCGAAGGCGGGUCUCUGGACAGUUCCUGACGCUGAGGCGCGAAGGCCAGGGGAGCAAACGGG